rnacentral:rRNA from 1 species
UCGUGUCGUGAGAUGUUGGUUAAGUCCGCAACGAGCGCAACCCCUACUCUUUAGUUGCCAUCAUUGAGUUGGGCGACUCUAAAGAGACUGCCGGUGACAAACCGGAGGAAGGUGGGGAUGACGUCAAAUCAUCAUGCCCCCUUAUGACCUGGGCUACACACGUACUACAAUGGCGUAUACAACGGGAAGCGAAAUGGUGACAUGGAGCAAAUCUCACAAAGUACGUCUCAGUUCGGAUUGAAGUCUGCAACUCGACUUCAUGAAGUCGGAAUCGCUAGUAAUCGCGGAUCAGCAUGCCGCGGUGAAUACGUUCUCGGGCCUU